UGGGGAAUUUUGCCCAAUGGACGAAAGUCUGAGGCAGCAACUCCGCGUGAGGGACGAAGGCUCUCGGGUCGUAAACCUCUUUUCUCAGGGAAGAUCCAAGACGGUACCUGAGGAAUAAGCCACGGCUAACUACGUG
rnacentral:rRNA from 1 species